AGCAGCCGCGGUAAUUCCAGCUCCAAUAGCGUAUAUUAAAGUUGUUGCAGUUAAAAAGCUCGUAGUUGAAUUUCGGGGUUCUACCGUUGGUCGGGCAAUUGUCUGUACUGGCGUGUGGAAUUUCUACCUUCUGGGGAACCAUCAUGUUAUUAAUUUAGCGUGGUGGGAAACCAGGACCUUUACCUUGAAAAAAUUAGAGUGUUCAAAGCAGGCUUACGUCUGAAUACAUUAGCAUGGAAUAAUAAAAUAGGACGGUGGUCCUGUUUUGUUGGUUUCUGAAUCACCGUAAUGAUUAAUAGGGAUAGUUGGGGGCAUUAGUAUUCAAUUGUCAGAGGUGAAAUUCUUGGAUUUAUUGAAGACUAACUUCUGCGAAAGCAUUUGCCAAGGAUGUUUUCAUUAAUCAAGAACGAAAGUUAGGGGAUCGAAGACGAUCAGAUACCGUCGUAGUCUUAACCAUAAACUAUGCCGACU
rnacentral:rRNA from 1 species